GGCGGCGGAGUGAAGGCCCGGCCUUUCGAUCCGUAAUGCAUAUCGUUCGGGUCAUCGAGGCGGUGUGAUUGUGAAGGCCCGGCCUUUCCACUUCCAGUCGGCGGACCGGCGGAUGUUCUUUGCGCUGCCAUGACCGGCGGCGAGGCCACCGAUCGAUAGGCGGACCGUUGGCCGGCCGGACGCAAGAUCAGGGACGGCCGAGUACAUCAGGGUUGACAACGGGAGGCCCGACGCCGAAUUUAUGGAGUUACGAGGUGAUACACACACACAUUCACUCACUCACCAGGCAAUGCUAUAAAGGCAUCGGACUGCCUGGCCAUCUCAGCCUUCCUCUGGUGCAUAUCAGCCACUGCUUUCACCUCUCCCACCGUUUCACCCGAUAUCUGCAUGCAGGUUACAUACGCCAUCGAUCACACGCACAAGCAAACACGCAUGAUAAAAUUACCAGAGGAACCUGCAGCUUUCUGCUUAACCAAAAGAAGGACCAACUUUCGACGGAUGGAGAAAGAAGAACGGGAGCGUGUGUGUGUGUCGACUGUUCUACGGCGCCAGUAUUGUUUUGAAUCAUCAGAGACAACAAGUUCAGGAGAGGCAAUGAUGGUGCUGGCGUGGGGGGACAAGAGAAGAAGAUGUGAUGGGCAUUCCCUUUGUUUAAUCUGGCCAGCAUCUGCUUGAGAGAUGGCGGUCAAGAUCAGUGAGAUUUCAUCUAUCAUGGGGGGAACAAGAUUUCAGUGGGCAUUUCUCCUGAUCUUUCAUCAUAAGUUUGCUUUCUUCUUUCCCACUAGCAAGAAAGACGAAAGGAGCAAGAUCUAUGGACAGUAUCAAUUUGUUAUACCUUUACAGCUCUGUUGUGCAAAUACUAAUAUACUAUAUCUGAUGAUAAACAUGCUGAGUAGCCUGUGCACUUCAGCAUUACGAUAGAUUGAUUCCCAUCAGCACAAUAUUUAGGUCAUGCAAAGAUUUAUUGCCUUACUA